rnacentral:snRNA from 1 species
AUACUUACCUGGCAGGGGAGAUACCAUGAUCACGAAGGUGGCUUUCCCAGGGCGAGGCUUAUCCAUUGCACUCCGGAUGUGCUGACCCCUGCGAUUUCCCCAAAUGCGGGAAACUCGACUGCAUAAUUUGUGGUAGUGGGGGACUGCGUUCGCGCUCUCCCCUG